ACUCAAAUGAAUUGACGGGGGCCCGCACAAGCGGUGGAUUAUGUGGUUUAAUUCGAAGCAACGCGAAAAACCUUACCUGGGUUUGAAAUCCCGAGAACUCCCCAGAGAUGGAGAGGUGCCCGCAAGGGAGCUCGGAGACAGGCGCUGCAUGGCUGUCGUCAGCUCGUGUUGUGAAAUGUUGGGUUAAGUCUCGCAACGAGCGCAACCCCUAUUCUUAGUUGCCAGCAUUAAGUUGGGCACUCUAAGGAGACUGCCGGGGUUAACCCGGAGGAAGGUGGGGAUGACGUCAAGUCCUCAUGGCCCUUAUGUCCAGGGCUACACACGUAAUACAAUGGAUGGUACAAAGGGACGCGAACUCGCAAGGGGGAGCAAAUCUCAAAAAGCCAUUCUCAGUCCGGAUUGAAGUCUGCAACUCGACUUCAUGAAGUUGGAAUCGCUAGUAAUCGCGGAUCAGCAUGCCGUGGUGAAUACGUUCCCGGGCCUUGUACACACCGCCCGU
rnacentral:rRNA from 1 species